UACGUAGGGGGCUAGCGUUGUCCGGAAUCAUUGGGCGUAAAGCGCGUGUAGGCGGUCCGGUAAGUCCGCUGUGAAAGUCGAGGGCUCAACCCUCGAAUGCCGGUGGAUACUGUCGGGCUUGAGUACGGGAGAGGCGAGUGGAAUUCCUGGUGUAGCGGUGAAAUGCGCAGAUAUCAGGAGGAACACCGAUGGCGAAGGCAGGUCUCUGGGCAUUAACUGACGCUGAGGAGCGAAAGCAUGGGGAGCGAACAGG
rnacentral:rRNA from 1 species